UGUAGUCGAACAAGAAUCAAUCCCAAAAGGUCGGAACGAGGUAUGUGGCUUUCAAACUAGGUUCUGGGUUCAUAAAAGACCUGAAUCAGGAACAAGGGCUAUUAGCUCAGGUGGUUAGAGCGCACCCCUGAUAAGGGUGAGGUCCCUGGUUCGAGUCCAGGAUGGCCCACCUGCACAGGUGGCAAAAACAAAGAAAAGAAGCGAGGAAUCAGCACCUUAUCUUACUUAUAUAGUAAGAGAGAAUGCUGGCUCUGAGUACAGAGUCCAGAGGAACCUUGAAAACUGCAUAGAGCUAGGUGAAAAAGCCAAAAAAGAAGACCGCAAA
rnacentral:tRNA from 1 species